rnacentral:misc_RNA from 1 species
GUAGGUGAACCUGCGGAAGGAUCAUUAUCGAGUUUUGAAAUGGGUUGUAGCUGGUCUCUUUCAACGGAGGCAUGUGCACACCUGGCUCAUCCACUCUCAUACCCCUGUGCACUUAUUGUAGGCUUGGUAGACUGGACUUUACUGUCUGGAAAGCCUUUCCUAUGUCUUCAUAACAAACGCUUCAGUUUAAGAAUGUAAUUUUGUGGAUAACACAUUUAUAUACAACUUUCAGCAACGGAUCUCUUGGCUCUC